UCCAUAUCCAAAGAGAACACGAUGUGGAUUGUUGACCUCCUGUAGGUGGCUCCUGACCAAGCAAGCCUAUGGUAAACAAGUGUGCAGGAUUCAGGUUCUGUAUUUGGCUCACAAAUCCCUCCGUUCUGCUGCUUACUCAUUUUGAAAUCCACUGCUCAGGAAGAUGUGUGUCUGGGGCAGAGUCUGCUAGACAGGACAGGAGUGAGCACAGAGGAGUGCUAGUCCCACCCUCACUUUCUGAACUUUGUCCCAGCCUGUGCUUCUGCCAGGACAAAGAUGAUGCUGCAGCCAGACAGGAUUAUGUUCUGGAUAGUAUGGGGACCCCUAGUGGUCUUUUUU